rnacentral:lncRNA from 1 species
CCUGGAUGAUGCACUUGCACGGAGAGGCCAUGUGAGGACUCAGUGAAAAGGUGGCCAUCUGCAAGCCAGGGAGAGGGACCUCAGGAGAAACCAAACCUGCCAACACCUUGAGCUUAGACUUUCAGCCUCCAGAACUGUGGGAAAAUGCAUUUAUGCUGUUGAAGCCUACAGUCUAUGGUACUCGGUUAUGGCAGCCCUAGCAAAUUAAUAGAGAAGGAGAAAUUUCAUUGAAGCUUGGAUAUUGGAAGGGUAGACUGCUAUGCAAGGAGCACUCCUUCAUCCAAGAAAUGAUGAUCCUCUAUUUUUUCUGCUUAGGAAAUGGUAUCUUCCUCCACCUACAUACUGACCAGAAGCCUGGAAUACAGCCUCAUCUCUUUCACUUUCCUCACUCAGAUGGCUACUCUUGCAUUUCAUCAGGACUCUGCUUGCAAGAAUCGCAAGGCAGAUCAAGCCCCAUAGCCUAAGACCUCUCGGGAUGACCUAAUUUUCCCAAAGUCUUAAAUUUAAAAUCAAAACAUGCACUUCAUAUUCUUUAACAUAAAUGAGGUAUGUCAAAAGAUCAAAGUCACACAGUAUGUCUGAGACAAAAAUGCCAGACUAUUUAUUGUUCAUUAAUAAUAUCAAUCUCGGCCGGCUGUGGUGGCUCACACCUGUAAUCCCAGCACUUUGAGAGGCUAAGGCAGGCGGAUCACCUGCAGUUGUGAGUUGGAGACCAGCCUGACCAACGUGAAGAAACCCCAUCUCUACUAAAAAAAAAAAAAAAAAAAAAAAGUCAGCCGGGUGUGGUGGCACAUGCCUGUCAUCUCAGCUACUCCGGAGGUGGAGGCAGAAGCAACCCUUGAACCCAGGAGGCAGAGGUUCCAGUGAGCCAAGAUUGCACCAUUGCACUCCAGCCUGGGCAACAAGAGAAAUCUUUGUCUCAAAAAUAAAAUAAUCAUCAUCAUCAUCA